rnacentral:tRNA from 1 species
GGGGUGUAGCUCCAAUUGGCAGAGCAGCGGAUUCCAAAUCCGCUUGUUGGGAGUUCGAUUCUCUCCACCCCUGCCA